rnacentral:lncRNA from 1 species
CGUAUAUAUAACAGUUGGUCCGAGACCACCAUUGUCGUCCCUUGACAAAUAUAGUCCCUAGUGUUAACAGUGGGUUACUUGCCAUUAAUUUUUAUACCCCUUCCAAAUUUAUUUCUCCAUGUUUAAUGCCUCAAAUUGCAAGUUGGGGAUAAAACUACACUGUAAAAAUAUUUGGGUCCAGAAUUUUAAAGAAAAGUAGUGAUUUGG